rnacentral:rRNA from 1 species
GACGAACGCUGGCGGCGUGCUUAACACAUGCAAGUCGAGCGGUAAGGCCCUUUCGGGGGUACACGAGCGGCGAACGGGUGAGUAACACGUGAGUAAUCUGCCCUUCACUUCGGGAUGACCACCGGAAACGGUGGCUAAUAACGGGUAUGACUACUGGUUGCAUGACUGGCGGCGGAAAGUUCUGGCGGGGGAGGGUGAUCUCGCGGCCUAGCAGCGUGUUGGUGGGGUGUUGGCCUACCAAGGCGACGACGGGUAGCCGGCCGGAGGGGGUGACCGGCCACCCUGGGACUGAGACACGGCCCAGACUCCUACGGGAGGCAGCAGUGGGGAAUAUUGGACAAUGGGCGAAAGCCUGAUCCAGCAACGCCGCGUGAGGGAUGACGGCCUUCGGGUUGUAAACCUCUUUCAGUACCGACGAAGCGUAAGUGACGGUAGGUACAGAAGAAGCACCGGCCAACUACGUGCCAGCCGCCGCCGUAAGAC